rnacentral:rRNA from 1 species
GUACGGUGAAACCGCGAAUGGCUCAUUAAAUCAGUCGAGGUUCCUUAGAUGAUCCAUUUCUACUUGGAUAACUGUGGUAAUUCUAGAGCUAAUACAUGCCCAACAGCUCCGACCCCGGGCUUCGCGGUUCGGGGAAAGAGCGCUUUUAUUAGUUCAAAACCAGUCGGGGGUUUCGGCCCUCGUGCUUUGGUGACUCUGGAUAACUUUGAGCCGAUCGCAUGGCCUCGAGCCGGCGACGCAUCUUUCAAAUGUCUGCCCUAUCAAAUGACGACGGUACGUGAUCUGCCUACCGUGUUGACUACGGGUAGCGGGGAAUCAGGGUUCGAUCCGGA